AUACGUAGGUGGCAAGCGUUGUCCGGAUUUAUUGGGCGUAAAGCGAGCGCAGGCGGUUCUUUCAGUCUGAUGUGAAAGGCCCCGGCUCAACCGGGGAGGGGCAUUGGGAACUGGAGAAAUUUAGGGCAGAAGAGGAGAGUGGGAUUCCAUGUGUAGCGGUGAAAGGCGUAGAUAUAUGGAGGAACACCAGUGGCGAAGGCGGCUCUCUGGUCUGCAACUGACGCUGAGGCUCGAAAGCGUGGGGAGCAAACAGGAUUAGAUACCCUGGUAGUCCACGCCGUAAACGAUGAGUGCUAAGUGUUGGAGGGUUUCCGCCCUUCAGUGCUGCAGCUAACGCAUUAAGCACUCCGCCUGGGGAGUACGGCCGCAAGGCUGAAACUCAAAUGAAUUGACGGGG
rnacentral:rRNA from 1 species